CAGGGAGACAACAAAAUGUUUAAUAUUAUUAUUUUGUCACCUUAGGUCGAUCGGUAUCUCACGUUCUUAAUUUAUUAAGAAUUUCAUUUCCUAAGUUUUUCUAGGUCACACCCAUUAUUUUUCCUGGGCCAUUAGCUCAGGUGGUUAGAGCGCACCCCUGAUAAGGGUGAGGUCCCUGGUUCAAGUCCAGGAUGGCCCAUAUCUCUAUGUUGGGGGUAUAGCUCAGUUGGUAGAGCGCCUGCUUUGCAAGCAGGAUGUCAGCGGUUCGAGUCCGCUUACCUCCACUGAUUACCACCUCUUCCAUAACCGGUAGAAAGGAAAUGUUUUGAGUUGUGAUCAAAUUCUGAAAGAAUCUAGCUUCCUAAUGAAAUCAUUAAGAUGCUGGACUCAUUGAAUUAAUUUCAUUGUUUUCAGAGAACCUUGACAACUGCAUAGAUUAUUUUUAAAGACAAUAAGCAUCUUUAAUGAUGCAGACUUAUUAUUUGUGCGAAUGCAUUAAUAACAAUUCUAUUAAGCUGAUGCUUCAAUUUUUGAAGUUAUU
rnacentral:tRNA from 1 species